rnacentral:rRNA from 1 species
AGUGGCGGACGGGUGAGUAAUGUCUGGGAAACUGCCUGAUGGAGGGGGAUAACUACUGGAAACGGUAGCUAAUACCGCAUAACGUCGCAAGACCAAAGAGGGGGACCUUCGGGCCUCUUGCCAUCGGAUGUGCCCAGAUGGGAUUAGCUAGUAGGUGGGGUAACGGCUCACCUAGGCGACGAUCCCUAGCUGGUCUGAGAGGAUGACCAGCCACACUGGAACUGAGACACGGUCCAGACUCCUACGGGAGGCAGCAGUGGGGAAUAUUGCACAAUGGGCGCAAGCCUGAUGCAGCCAUGCCGCGUGUAUGAAGAAGGCCUUCGGGUUGUAAAGUACUUUCAGCGGGGAGGAAGGCGAUAAGGUUAAUAACCUUGUCGAUUGACGUUACCCGCAGAAGAAGCACCGGCUAACUCCGUGCCAGCAGCCGCGGUAAUACGGAGGGUGCAAGCGUUAAUCGGAAUUACUGGGCGUAAAGCGCACGCAGGCGGUCUGUCAAGUCGGAUGUGAAAUCCCCGGGCUCAACCUGGGAACUGCAU